GUGGGGAAUUUUGGACAAUGGGCGCAAGCCUGAUCCAGCAAUGCCGCGUGCAGGAAGAAGGCCUUCGGGUUGUAAACUGCUUUUGUACGGAACGAAACGGUCCUGGUUAAUACCUGGGGCUAAUGACGGUACCGUAAGAAUAAGCACCGGCUAACUACGUGCCAGCAGCCGCGGUAAUACGUAGGGUGCGAGCGUUAAUCGGAAUUACUGGGCGUAAAGCGUGAGCAGGCGGUGCUGUAAGACAGGCGUGAAAUCCCCGGGCUCAACCUGGGAAUUGCGCUUGUGACUGCAGUGCUGGAGUACGGCAGAGGGGGAUGGAAUUCAGCGUGUAGCAGUGAAAUGCGUAGAUAUGCGGAGGAACACCGAUGGCGAAGGCAGUCCCCUGGGCCUGUACUGACGCUCAUGCACGAAAGCGUGGGGAGCAAACAGGAUUAGAUACCCGGGUAGUCC
rnacentral:rRNA from 1 species